CACGUAGGGUGCGAGCGUUGUCCGGAAUUAUUUGGGCGUAAAGAGCUCGUAGGCGGUGUGUCGCGUCGGCCGUGAAAACCUGCAGCUUAACUGUGGGCUUGCGGUCGAUACGGGCAUCACUGGAGUUCGGCAGGGGAGACUGGAAUUCCUGGUGUAGCGGUGAAAUGCGCAGAUAUCAGGAGGGAACACCGGUGGCGAAGGCGGGUCUCUGGGCCGAUACUGACGCUGGAGGCAACGAAAAGCUAGGGGGAGCAAACAGG
rnacentral:rRNA from 1 species